rnacentral:rRNA from 1 species
UUAGUCCUACGGGGGGCAGCAGUAGGGAAUCUUCCACAAUGGGCGAAAGCCUGAUGGAGCAACGCCGCGUGGGUGAAGAAGGUCAUCGGAUCGUAAAACCCUGUUGUUAGAGAAGAAAGUGCGCGAGAGUAACUGUUCACGUUUCGACGGUAUCUAACCAGAAAGCCACGGCUAACUACGUGCCAGCAGCCGCGGUAAUACGUAGGUGGCAAGCGUUAUCCGGAUUUAUUGGGUGUAAAGGGAACGCAGGCGGUCUUUUAAGUCUGUUGUGAAAGCCUUCGGCUUAACCGGAGUAG